GUGCCAGCCGCCGCGGUAAUUCCAGCUCCAAUAGCGUAUAUUAAAGUUGUUGUGGUUAAAAAGCUCGUAGUUGAACCUUGGGCCUGGCUGGCCGGUCCGCCUCACCGCGUGCACUGGUCCGGCCGGGCCUUUCCCUCUGUGGAACCCCAUACCCUUCACUGGGCGUGGCGGGGAAACAGGACAUUUACUUUGAAAAAAUUAGAGUGCUCCAGGCAGGCCUAUGCUCGAAUACAUUAGCAUGGAAUAAUAAAAUAGGACGCGCGGUUCUAUUUUGUUGGUUUAUAGGACCGCCGUAAUGAUUAAUAGGGACAGUCGGGGGCAUCAGUAUUCAACUGUCAGAGGUGAAAUUCUUGGAUCAGUUGAAGACUAACUACUGCGAAAGCAUUUGCCAAGGAUGUUUUCAUUAAUCAGGAACGAAAGUUAGGGGAUCGAAGACGAUCAGAUACCGUCGUAGUCUUAACCAUAAACUAUGCCGACUAGGGAUCGGACGGUGUUAUUCAUGACCCGUUCGGCACCUUACGAGAAAUCAAAGUGCUUGGGCUCCAGGGGGAGUAUGGUCGCAAGGCUGAAACUUAAAGAAAUUGACGGAAGGGCACCACCAGGGGUGGAGCCUGCGGCUUAAUUUGACUCAACACGGGGAAACUCACCAGGUCCAGACACAAUAAGGAUUGACAGAUUGAGAGCUCUUUUCUUGAUUUUGUGGGUGGUGGUGCAUGACCGUUCUUAGUUGGUGGGGUGACUGUCUGCUUAAUUGCGAUAACGAACGAGACCUUAACCUGCUAAAUAGGCC
rnacentral:rRNA from 1 species